rfam:Aeromonas diversa 2478-85 Contig 26, whole genome shotgun sequence.
GGGGUCUGCAGCAGCAGGGCAUCGCGGGAGGGGAUGUCGCCGCCGAUGUGAUAAGGCAGGCCGCAGUUGGCAAAGCUGAUGAACUCGCCGCGCUCGAACAGGACAAUCUCGGCAUGCUCAUCCAUGCGACGGGCACGGGCCGCGGCCGAUGCGCCGCCGGCGACACCAC